rnacentral:rRNA from 1 species
UACGUAGGGUCCAAGCGUUGUCCGGAUUUACUGGGUUUAAAGGGUGCGUAGGCGGCUGCUUAAGUCGGUGAUGAAAUGCGGGGGCUCAACCUUACGCGCUGUUGCCGAAACUGGGCGGCUUGAGACUAUAAGAGGUAGCUGGAAUAAGUGGUGUAGCGGUGAAAUGCGUAGAGAUCGGAAAGAACACCAACGGCGAAAGCACUCUGCUGGGCCGACACUGACACUGAGAGACGAAAGCUAGGGGAGCGAAUGGG